rnacentral:rRNA from 1 species
CCAAUAGCGUAUAUUAAAGUUGUUGCAGUUAAAAAGCUCGUAGUUGAAUUUCGGGAUUGACACAUCGGUCGUGCCUUAAGGGGUGUGAACUGGUGUAGUCAAUUUCUCACCUUCUGGAGAACCGCGAUGUCCUUAAUUGGGUGCCGCGAGGAACCAGGACCUUUACUUUGAAAAAAUUAGAGUGUUUAAAGCAGGCAUUUUUGCUUGAAUACAUUAGCAUGGAAUAAUAAAAUAGGACGGCAUGAUUCUAUUUUGUUGGUUUCUAGGAUCACCGUAAUGAUUAAUAGGGAUAGUUGGGGGCAUUAGUAUUCAAUUGUCAGAGGUGAAAUUCUUGGAUUUAUUGAAGACUAACUACUGCGAAAGCAUUUGCCAAGGAUGUUUUCAUUAAUCAAGAACGAAAGUUAGGGGAUCGAAGACGAUCAGAUACCGUCGUAGUCUUAACCAUAAACUAUGCCAACUAGGAAUCAGASGAUGUUAAUUUUUUAAUGACUCG